rnacentral:snoRNA from 1 species
CUGCACUGCUCAGUGACCAGCUGGUCUUCCCUUGACCUCCUUGGUCUCAUUCCAGUGCAAGAUAAAUUCCUUCUAGCAGAAGGUGCAGGCUCUUGCUAUGGUCUGUCCCUUUCGAAAGCUGGGUACAAAC